rnacentral:lncRNA from 1 species
AGAAAUGCCAUAUGGAUCAAAGAAUAGCUCAAAUUAAAUUGUGUCAUAACUACUUAAAAAGCAACACAUUGCUGUAUACCUUAAAUAUACACAAUAAAUAAAAUCAUGUAUAGAAAAGGGAAAUUUCAAAAUAAAACCCAGAAUGAGACAUUUCACAUCAAUUAGAAUAACUAUACUAAAAGUACCAAGGGUAGCAUGUACUGGUGAGGACGUGGUGCGCUCAUACACUCAAGGAAAGUGCAUGUAAAAAUAGUGCAGGUGCUUUGGAAAACAGUGUGGCCAUUCCUCAAAAAGUUAAACAUAGUUAUUACAUGAUCCAGCAGUUACACUCUUAGGUAUAUACCAAAGACGCACAAAAGCAGUCAUCUGUACAAAAAUUCACAUGUGAAUGUUGAUACUAGCAUUAUUUAUAAUAGCCCUAAAGUGGAAGCAAAAGAAAUGUCCAUUAACUGGUGAAUGGAUAAGCAAAAUGUUCUGCAUGCACACAAGCAGAUAUUGCUUGAGAUUAAUGUAUGCUACAAUGUGGAUGACUUUCAAAACUUUAUGUUAAAGGAAAGACUCCAGACCCAUAAAAGAAGGUUGCAUUUAUAAGAAUAAAUGACAUGGUCACUGUGCACAC